AUUGAACGCUGGCGGCAGGCCUAACACAUGCAAGUCGAACGAGUGGCGGACGGGUGAGUAAUGUCUGGGAAACUGCCUGAUGGAGGGGGAUAACUACGGGAAACGGUAGCUAAUACCGCAUACCAUCAGAUGUGCCCAACUGGGAUUAGGUUGUUGGUGGGGUAACGGCUCACCAAGCCGACGACCCCUAGCUGGUCUGAGAGGAUGACCAGCCACACUGGAACUGAGACACGGUCCAGACUCCUACGGGAGGCAGCAGUGGGGAAUAUUGCACAAUGGGGGCAAGCCUGAUGCAGCCAUGCCGCGUGAAUGAAGAAGGCCUUCGGGUUGUAAAGUACUUUCGGCAGGGAGGCGUUACCCACAGAAGAAGCACCGGCUAACUCCGUGCCAGCAGCCGCGGUAAUAC
rnacentral:rRNA from 1 species